UGGUAGUCAAGCAGCUGAAUGUUGUAAUCCCACACUUUUUUUUUUAUUUACAUAAAGGAAAUAAGGGGGGCGGAUCAUAAGUCAAUUACCAUUUUUCAUGCAUUUUGUUUCUCUGUGAAAAAGCACAAGCAUGGUCCUGAAGAAGUGGUGAUACAGUUUUCCCCAGACUAAACAUCACUUGGAGACUUCUGCAUUCAAAGUCAGAAUUCUAUGCCAGUGUUGCCAAAAUAUAGGACAAAAAAAGGACAGAACCUCAGAUCCCCCUCAGUACUAGGAGAAGGAACCCAGAAAUGUUGGUCCAUCACAGGUCAGAUAAGUGAGCAGCAGUCCAGUAGCUAAACGGGCAGAGCAUUUGGCAAGAUAAGGGGGAACCAGCACAGAAACAUGGGUGACAUGUCAGUGGAAUUGCAAAAGGAAAUGAGAACAAUGAUCCGUAAAUUAAAUGGAGCUGAAGAGACAAAUUCAAAGAGGAUAAUGCUGCUUAUAAGCCUUCAGGGCUGAUACAGAGAUAAGAUCUCUGAGCCAUAAAGGGAAUCAUGAGGAGACAUGAGGCAAUAGAUAUUUGUAGGGAGACCAUGAGAUUACAGGAGCUCUGUGAGAUAGCUCAUGCAGACUAGUGCCAUCCUCAAGUACCUCAGUAUGGCCCUCCUCACACACACA